CUCAGGCCUGACUGAAAAUAACUAAACAAGAAUAAGAAGAAGCAUAAACAGGUUCGAGGAAGUAAGAACUGCUACAAGGGUGGCCAGAAAAGGCUGAAUGUAAGAGGUCAGACUUUGGGUUAGUUUAGAAGGAAGCCAGGAAUUCUCAGAGGUGAAGGGCCCACUCAUCAGAGGUGAUACCUCCCCCUGGAACAAUUAUUGCUCUGCCACCAUGGAGGCAAAUACAGCCUUGUGGGCCCGAGUUGCAGAGUACUGAAAUACUCUUGAGAGGCCAAAGGAAGAUGUGGAAGAUGAAGGAUUUAUGGAAUGCCACACCAUGCAGAGCAUGGCAGCUCGUGAACAGCCAAGAAUGAAGGAGUGUUUAUUUACCACCCCACCAAACUCCACAAUGUCACUUUGUCAUCUCCUUACCAAGGGCAUCUUACUGAAAUGUAGAAGGAAAUAAUUCAUUAAUAAAUUCAGUUCAACAAA